rnacentral:lncRNA from 1 species
GUAACACAAUACAUCAAUAGAUGGGUUCAGAUUGUAUCUUUCAUGCGAAAAAAAUGAUUCACGACAUCAACUGGUGGAUCUAUGCAAAUAGGUGAAGGAAGAGAUUGAAGUCCCUUGGGAUCUAUGCAAGAUGUGAUCCAUUAGUUGAUGCUGUGAAAGAAUAUUGGACAUGUUUCUUGGCAAGUAAGAUGCUAGUUGUGUACUCC